rnacentral:rRNA from 1 species
GUUUAUGGCCAUGCUACCCUGAACAAGCCUGAUCCCGUCUGAUCUUGGAAGCUAAGCAGGGUCAGGCCUGGUUAGUACUUGGAUGGGAGACCACCUAGGAAGACCAGGUGCUGUAGGCG